GCCAGGCAUGGUGGUGCACGCCUGUAAUCCCUGCAGCUCAGGAGGCUGAGGCAGGAAGAUGGGGAGUUCAAAGCCAGCCUCAG
rnacentral:sRNA from 1 species